rnacentral:sRNA from 1 species
AGUGGCUUUACCAUCCUGCCCUGCACACGCUACUCCAUGGAGACCAACGGGGCCAAGAUCGUGUCCACUCGCGCUUGAGCUGCGGGAGGCGGAUGAGGGGCUGCUGAGGGCCGGUGAGAACGACUUCAGCAUCAUGUACUCAACACGCAAGCGGAGUGCUCAGCUGUGGCUGGGCCCAGCCGCCUUCAUCAACCAUGACUGCAAACCCAACUGCAAGUUUGUGCCUGCAGAUGGGAACGCAGCCUGCGUGAAGGUGCUCCGGGACAUCGAGCCCGGGGACGAGGUGACAUGCUUCUACGGCGAGGGCUUCUUCGGUGAGAAGAAUGAGCACUGUGAAUGCCACACCUGUGAGAGGAAAGGUGAAGGAGCUUUCCGAACCAGGCCUAGGGAGCCUGCGUUGCCACCACGGCCCCUGGACAAGUACCAGCUACGUGAGACCAAGCGGCGGCUGCAGCAAGGCCUGG